CAUCUCAGUCGGGACUCGAACCCGGGACCUUUGGAUUAGAAGUCCAACGAGCUAUCCACUGAGCUACUGGGAU
rnacentral:tRNA from 1 species